AUUGAACGCUGGCGGUAGGCCUAACACAUGCAAGUCGAGCGGAUGAAGGGAGCUUGCUCCUGGAUUCAGCGGCGGACGGGUGAGUAAUGCCUAGGAAUCUGCCUGGUAGUGGGGGAUAACGUCCGGAAACGGGCGCUAAUACCGCAUACGUCCUGAGGGAGAAAGUGGGGGAUCUUCGGACCUCACGCUAUCAGAUGAGCCUAGGUCGGAUUAGCUAGUUGGUGGGGUAAAGGCCUACCAAGGCGACGAUCCGUAACUGGUCUGAGAGGAUGAUCAGUCACACUGGAACUGAGGCACGGUCCAGACUCCUACGGGAGGCAGCAGUGGGGAAUAUUGGACAAUGGGCGAAAGCCUGAUCCAGCCAUGCCGCGUGUGUGAAGAAGGUCUUCGGAUUGUAAAGCACUUUAAGUUGGGAGGAAGGGCAGUAAGUUAAUACCUUGCUGUUUUGACGUUACCAACAGAAUAAGCACCGGCUAACUUCGUG
rnacentral:rRNA from 1 species